AACGCGAAGAACCUUACCUGGGCUCGAAAUGCAGUGGACCGGGGUGGAAACAUCCCUUCCCCUUAAAAGGCUGCUGCAUAGGUGCUGCAUGGCUGUCGUCAGCUCGUGUCGUGAGAUGUUGGGUUAAGUCCCGCAACGAGCGCAACCCUCAUUCUUAGUUGCUCGCCCGCAAGGGAAGCACCCUAAGAAAACCGCCUCGGAUAACGGGGAGGAAGGUGGGGAUGACGUCAAGUCCUCAUGGCCUUUAUGCCCAGGGCUACACACGUGCUACAAUGGCCGGUACAAAGCGUCGCCAACCCGCAAGGGGGAGCCAAUCGCAAAAAACCGGUCUCAGUUCGGAUUGCAGUCUGCAACUCGACUGCAUGAAGCUGGAAUCGCUAGUAAUCGCGUAUCAGAACGACGCGGUGAAUACGUUCCCGGGCCUUGUACACACCGGUACUA
rnacentral:rRNA from 1 species